rnacentral:rRNA from 1 species
ACUCCUACGGGAGGCAGCAGUGGGAAGUAUUGCAUCAAUGGGGAAACCGGACUGNAGCCAUGCCGCGUGUGUGAAGAAGGCCUUCGGGUUGUAAAGCACUUUCAGUAGGGAGGAAGGUAGUGUAGUUAACACCUGCAUUAUUUGACGUUACCUACAGAAGAAGCACCGGCUAACUCCGUGCCAGCAGCCGCGGUAAUACGGAGGGUGCGAGCGUUAAUCGGAAUUACUGGGCGUAAAGCGCAUGCAGGCGGCCUGUUAAGUCAGAUGUGAAAG